UGCUAAGGUAGCAAAAUAAAUAGGCUUUUAAUUAAGGUCGAGUAUGAAUGGUAACAUGGGUGGCAGCUGUCUCAUUUUGUAAAAUUUUAAUUUAAUUAGUAGGUGAAAAUGCCUACCUAAAUACAUUAGACGAGAAGACCCUUAGAGUUUUUAAAACUUUAACUAGUAAGUAUUUAUGAAUUUUUUGUUGGGGCGACACAGUAGUACUUUAACCUACUUAGAUACACAUAUUACGGGACUUUAUUGAAAACAUAUGAAUAUAACUACCUAAGGGAUAACAGCAUAAUUUUUUUUAUUAAGAUUGUGACC
rnacentral:rRNA from 1 species